UAUGAAGGUCAGGCUGAAGACCUUACCCGAUUAGCUGAGAGGUGGUGCAUGGCCGUCGUCAGUUCGUACUGUGAAGCAUCCUGUUAAGUCAGGCAACGAGCGAGACCCACGUCCACAGUUGCCAGCAUACCCUCCGGGGUGAUGGGUACACUGUGGAGACCGCCGCUGCUAAAGCGGAGGAAGGAGUGGGCAACGGUAGGUCAGUAUGCCCCGAAUCUCCCGGGCUACACGCGGGCUACAAUGGUUGGUACAAUGGGCAUCUACCCCGAAAGGGGAAGGAAAUCUCUUAAAGCCAAUCGUAGUUCGGAUUGAGGGCUGCAACUCGCCCUCAUGAAGCUGGAAUCCGUAGUAAUCGCGCUUCAACAGAACGCGGUGAAUACGUCCCUGCUCCUU
rnacentral:rRNA from 1 species